UCAACUCUUUCAAUGACAAUACUUUUUUAGAAACUAUAACUCCAAGCAAAAUUAUAUUUCCAAGUUUAAAGUAAUUUAUGAAUGAAAAAAGGAGUUCUUAAUUAAGAAAUAAACUGAUUCGCUGAGCUCAGCUGGAUACACCGCAGAGGUCCAACCCUGAACAGUUGGGGCAAAAAUGGACACAAUAUUCAAGCUUGAUACAGGUCUGAAUUUGGAUUGUAAUUAAAUAUUUGACAUAUUAUAGGUUUCUGAAUAAAUGUAGUCAAAGAUCUUGAAAUUGGUUAUAUGAAUUGAAUAUGCAAUUAAAGAUUUCUUGCUGUUGUGCAAUACUUAGUAAACCUGUUGUCAGACUAUAAACAAAUAAAGUUCAAUUAAUUCUCAAUGUCAUAUUAGAAAUUUAUGAAAAUAAAAAGGGAGCUUACAACAAUAGAUAUAAACAAUUCACCAAAGUUUCAUGAGAAUUGGUGACAGCAUAUUUGAGUUAUUGUUCGAAAACUGGAAAAUCACCCAUUUUUUUAAUGAAUAAAACCCCAUAACUCAGAAAUGUAAAAUGUAAAAUUUAUAAAAUUCUAAAGGGAGCUUACAUCAAUACAUACAAACAAUUCACCAAAGUUUCAUAAGAAUUGCUGUAAGCAUUUUAGAGUUUUUGUCCGAAAACUGGAAAAUCCCCCCUUUUUUUAUGAAUAAAACCCCGUAACUCGGAAACGUAAAAUCUAAAAUUUAUAAAAAUCGAAA